rnacentral:rRNA from 1 species
UACGGGGGGAGCAAGCGUUGUUCGGAUUUACUGGGCGUAAAGGGCGCGUAGGCGGUCAGCACAAGUCAGUUGUGAAAUCUCCGGGCUUAACUCGGAAAGGUCAACUGAUACUGUGCGACUAGAGUGCGGAAGGGGCAACUGGAAUUCUUGGUGUAGCGGUGAAAUGCGUAGAUAUCAAGAGGAACACCUGCGGCGAAGGCGGGUUGCUGGGCCGACACUGACGCUGAGACGCGAAAGCGUGGGGAGCAAACAGG